rnacentral:rRNA from 1 species
UACAGAGGGUGCGAGCGUUAAUCGGAAUUACUGGGCGUAAAGCGUGCGUAGACGGCUAUCUAAGUCGGGUGUGAAAGCCCCGGGCUCAACCUGGGAAUUGCAUUCGAGACUGAAUAGCUAGGGUGCGGUAGAGGGAAGCGGAAUUUCCGGUGUAGCGGUGAAAUGCGUAGAUAUCUGGAGGAACACCGGUGGCGAAGGCGGCGUUCUGGACUGCACCUGACGCUGAGCCGCGAAAGCCAGGGGAGCGAACGGG